GGGGGCGAAUUGGGUUCGACGGAGGUAAAGAGACUGAGGAAGCAUGUCGAGGCCCCACCCACCUCGUUAAACAGGUGGACUUAAUAAGUGCAGAUUCAAUGCCUUUAGCUGCCUAAAAAAGGCAAGCCGUUUCUUUUGCGCUUUCCUGCGGUGCUCAAGAAACGUCGAUCAGCAGGAUAGUGACCCCGGAUGGCUCCUUACCGGGUGAGCGAAACCUCAAGGAGUUGGUUUCAAGGUGGUUUUCCUCUUCAACAGCCUUGGGACGAGAAAAUGGAAGAGGAUAAGCAUGUAGCGUCCUUUCGUUGAAUACCUUCGGACGCGGGUUCGAUUCCCGCCGCCUCCAUUG
rnacentral:tmRNA from 1 species